GCCCGGGUGGCGUAACGGCAGCCGCGGGGGGCUUAAACCCCCCUGGCCCGCAAGGGCCGUGCGGGUUCGACUCCCGCUCCGGGCA
rnacentral:tRNA from 1 species